AUCUAGCUGACGAAUCCCAAAUGGGACGAAACGCGCGUCCCAGAU
rnacentral:hammerhead_ribozyme from 1 species